CCUAAGCAUCCCAGAAACGACACAGAAAGUCAUAAAGUCAAACAUAACUUUUAAAAACACAAGUAUAGGCUCAUAAGCCCCUGAUGGUAAAAGAAACUACAUUUCCGCAAAAUGACGUCACGUCCGGUUUCGGGCAGAUCACGGUGGACAUGCGAUAGUUACGCUGAUGGAGUAGGAAGUGUUACAAACAGCUGAUCGGAUCGGCAAAGCGUGUUUCUGGAAUAUUUUGUUUUUGUUGCUGCAAGCGCUUUUUAUGCAGUUUUUGCAAAGCUAUAUGUGGAAGGAAACCGUGACCUAGGACAAGCUGAUGGCAUAAAAUAUUUGUGGAGGGGAAUUGGAAGCAGGAAAUCGCUGCACGUCAGCAGGUGAAAAGAAAAGAGAGGGAGGAAGUUAAGUUGGACGUGUGUGUGUGUGUGUGUCACAGAGAUCACACAGCUGAGGCAUGUGGAGGUGUACAGCACAUAGGUGUUUUGACUGACAGCUUCUAGCUGUAAUCACGUGUAUGAUUGUUUCCACAUGUGAAACGGAUGUAAAAAUGAUUGGAUGAAAAAUCCCCCCCGUGGCCGGCAGUCUGAAUAAAGGCUGUGAAGUCGUGUCAACAUGGUUUCAGUUAUCCUGCAGGAAAGUAAGACUUUAACUUUUUAUUUGAUACAUCAAAGCGUGAAGGUAUGCAAGAGGGACUACUUUUACACACAUGUAGACUAUUGUACUGAUGUUUCAAGUAUAUUUUUUUUGUCUCUAACCACAAGAUCAGAUGUUUUCUGAUAGUGAGUGAGGGUUUUUUUCCAGAGACAGCAAAUGUUUUUAAUAUAUUGAUCAUUUUUGAGCCAUUUUAGUUCACAAUGGAGAGAUCUGAUGAAACUAAAAUAAUAAUUUUAGUCAAUUUUAGUCCAUGGAAUAGGCUGGAAAAUCAUGGGGAGACCUUUGCCUGUUCACAUUUCUCUCUGGUGUGAUAUCACACCCCCAUUGUGCCAAUGAGUUUAAUCAAAGGAUGAAAACUAACAUUUUGUACCCGAAAAACUAUUGAGUAUGGAUGCAGUCAUUUUGUAAAUGAUUCUGAAAAAAAAAACCUUUAAAAAUACAAGAUAAAUAAUUGGUUCUCUUAUAUUUUUUUUUAUUUUUUACAUACAGAAUAAUUAGCUAGUUCAGUUACAGAGCCAAUGCAUAACACCACCCACCUCAAAGUGCUUUAUAUCAUCAGCUAGGCCAUACAAUACCAGAGAGAAGUCCAAAAAUCACUCCCAUUUAAUAGGAAGAACCAUUCAGCAGAACCAAGCUCUUAGG